GCAGAAUGAAAUGGGCACGCCUCCCUUGGAAACUGGAGUACAGGGAACA
rnacentral:rRNA from 1 species